CUGACAGGAGAUAAAGGAUACCAUCUUGAUGCCACAUACCACAGGGCACCUUCAUUGGUCUUGAUGAGUCCAGGCCUUGGUGGGUUGGAGCAGUUUUGGUGGCACAUGGAGGACCAAGAGCGCGUUAGACAACACAUCCCAGGAAGCCCUGCUUCUUCAGCCAUACUUAGCAGGAAGAGGAGGCUGGUGUCCCUUCAGUGCACAGACCCACAGAACAACCAUCUGCAGAAACUGAAGUUUUAGCCAAUAGCAACACAAAGAAGCGCUGUGAGAUGGACAGGACACAACACACAUGCAUCAUAUGCAAGUGUCACGAUUGGCCCCUCCCAGUCCUCCGUGUGCUUGUGUUUACCUUUUGGUCUUGUCCAUGUGUUUCCU